AUUGAACGCUGGCGGAAUGCUUUACACAUGCAAGUCGAGCGGCAGCGCGGCCUUCGGGCUGGCGGCGAGCGGCGAACGGGUGAGUAAUGCAUCGGAACAUGCCCAGUCGUGGGGGAUAACACUUCGAAAGAAGUGCUAAUACCGCAUACGUCCUGAGGGGGAAAGCGGGGGAUCGCAAGACCUCGCGCGAUUGGAGUGGCCGAUGUCAGAUUAGCUAGUUGGUGGGGUAAAGGCCUACCAAGGCGACGAUCUGUAGCUGGUCUGAGAGGAUGAUCAGCCACACUGGGACUGAGACACGGCCCAGACUCCUACGGGAGGCAGCAGUGGGGAAUUUUGGACAAUGGGGGCAACCCUGAUCCAGCCAUUCCGCGUGAGUGAAGAAGGCCUUCGGGUUGUAAAGCUCUUUCGGCAGGAACGAAACGGUGGGCUCUAACAUAGUCCGCUAAUGACGGUGCCUGAAGAAGAAGCACCGGCUAACUACGUG
rnacentral:rRNA from 1 species